CCUACGGGGGGCAGCAGUGAGGAAUAUUGGUCAAUGGGCUUACGCCUGAACCAGCCAAGUCGCGUGAGGGAAGACUGCCCUAUGGGUUGUAAACCUCUUUUGUCAGGGAGCAACGCCGGCUACGUGUAGCCGGACUGAGAGUACCUGAAGAAAAAGCAUCGGCUAACUCCGUGCCAGCAGCCGCGGUAAUACGGAGGAUGCGAGCGUUAUACGGAUUUAUUGGGUUUAAAGGGUGCGUAGGCGGAAUGCCAAGUCAGCGGUAAAAUCGCGGGGCUAAACCUCGCCCCGCCGUUGAACCUGGCGUUCUUGAGUGGUCGAGAGGCAUGCGGAAUGCGUGGGGUAGCGGUGAAAUGCAUAGAUA
rnacentral:rRNA from 1 species